CUCUGAGCGGGUGGGCGGAGGAGGAGGCGGCCGACGGGGCUGCGGGGGAGGGGGUGGUCAGCGGCAUCUGGCUACACACCUGCUCCUGCUUAACCCUGUGCGUGCUGGGGCUGGGCGCGCGGUGGGGGAGGGCUGCCCGACUACGCGGAACCAGCCCCAGGCCGCGGAGUGCGCGCAGGCCAAGACAGUCAACCUCCGGAGUCUCUGGCCAGGCCUGACGAUCUCCGGGUGCGCGGGAAUGGGGAUCCCCGGCGAGACCGUGGGGAUGUCCCGUACCCUUCGCUGUGCCCCUCGACCCGCACUGGCCUCUCCCGCACAGCCCAUGGAUCCGGAGUCUGCCUCCCGCGCGCCCGCGUGGCUCCGGCGGGAGAGGGAAGGAGCAAACUGAGGCUCAGAGGGAAGGGACUUGCCCAGGUUCACACAGCAAGUUUGUGCUAGAGCCUGGGCUGGCACAUACCUUGCCCGCCUGCCUAUCAAAAACCCCUGGAGGGCUUGGAAGAGGAGGCAGCUGGUGCUGGCGCCCAGGCUAGCCAGCACAGAGAGCCCCAGGGCCUGGCUCUGGGACGCUGCUGACUGUGGGCACGAUCACUGGGGGAAGACUCCCUCCCUUUCCAAACAUACACACUUCCUGUCCCUCAGGAGCUGGGAGCCGCCUGGAAAGGAGGAGGAAGAGGAGGAGGAGGAGGAGGAGGAGGAGGAAGGAGUCCUUGCCAAGGCCUUGGAAACCCUGAGUAAUGGACAGGGGAGCCUCUGCCCUGCUCCACCCAGUCAUGGCUGCCGUCUGCGCAGGGAGCAGGAACCACACACGUGGGAGGAACGGAUUUCUUAAACAGAUGCUGAAAGAGAGCCCAGAUUUUGAAGUUGGCAGGAGAAUCGGGGCUCCGAAAAGAGUAAAUAAUAGUGUAUUAUUUGUAAUAUAAUAUUGUCUUAUAUGUAAUGUAUUAUUGCUGUGUUGAAUUGAGCACGUAGUAUGUGCCAGGCCCUCCUUCAGUUUGCCUCUUUUAACCCCUACCACAAGCUCAGCAGGCAGGUAUUCAUAUUCUAACCACGUUCUUGUAGCUUUGUAAGUGAUCAAGAAAGUAUAUUUGCAAAUAAAAAUAGUUCCAGAGCUAGACAGUUUCUGUGGGUCACCAGAGCCCAAGAUAUUGUACCCACUUUCCAGGUGAAGGUACUGAGGCUCCAGGAGCUUAAGUCCCUUGCCCAAGGUUGUCAGUAAAGAAAGCCCUUGCUGGGGCGUUUCUGUGAAUGGAAGACCUCUGGGUUUCCUUCUUUCCUUCAAGUUUUCAUGCCAGCCCAGCCUCCUCCUGCCUUCCACCACCACCCCUUCAAGUUUUUGUGCACAUUAUCUCCUCAGCCUCGAUGUCCCUCCUCCCUUCUAUUCUCAGUCUUCCCCAUCACCUCCUUUUCUUUGAACCUGAGGCCCCUCUGCCCCAGAGGCUGAGGUGUGUCUGGGAGAUAAACUCGAUGUGCCUUGCCCUAAGACCACUGACCCAGGCAGGUGAAAGGAAAGCAGGUUCUAGAGCUCUUUGCAUAACAACAAAACUUCUCCCAAGAAAAGUGGUUAUGGGCUUAGUAGGGCCCCCUCCGUGCUCAUCCAAACACAUACACACACACCCUCACCCCAAAAACAAGAGUCCCAGUUGUGGUUGAAAAGAAGGAAGACAUUUCUUGUGGGUCGGGGUUAUCUUACUCUCAGCUGAGCCAAGGGGGAAGAGGGCAUCUUGGGGUGGGGAGGGCUGCACUGUGGUAGCAAUGUCAAUGAUCAGUGGGGGUGGUCCCUGUUGACAAAGGAAAGAGAAAAUGGAAAACAGUGUCUGGUGUGUUCAGAGGGCACCCAUAUCGGAAGACUCUAGCUUGGCAAGGCAUAUGAAAAAGCCAGCUCCUACAGUCCCAGGGGCCUUUUGGGGGUCCCUAGAGGUCUCACCUCCCCCUUGGAGCUCAUCCCAGCCCUCCCUAUUUCCUGCCUCCAGGCUGGCUUCCUGCUCAAAUGAGGCCUUGAGUGUGUUGUGCUCAGGUGAGGGCCCCCUCCCACCCAGUGUUUUGAGGACUGGACUUAGAUUUGGGGCCCCAAGGGUACAUGAAGGAUGCUUCUUCCUAACCCCAGGACCUAAAGCCCUUCUUCCCAGAACCCAUCACAAGCAUUAAAAAGUGGGGCUCCUGCCUCAGGGGAAGAAAGAGCUGCCCGAAUGAGCUAAGGGCUCCAUCUGUAAAGCCAUUCGUGACAUAGGAUGUGGGGGAGAUUGGGGUGCAGUGGAUGUCCAAGGAGCCUCCUAAAGCCAGACCUGGUGAAGCCACACUGGCUUCUUAGGGUUUCCGACCCUAAAGUAAUAGUGUCACCUGGGACUGAGAAGCAUGGCUGGCACCUUUGGGGUCAUUUGUUUUGGGACCUUGAAGGGCUCACACAGGAUACCUGUUCCCUCACAGUCCCCUCUCUUCUCCACCCACCCACCCCCACUGAGGGGGGGUGACGAUGGAGUGGGGUGGGUGCUGUGACUCGUCCUCCAUUUGGCAAGUGAAUCUGGAGAUCUUUCUCAGGGACAGGCAAGCUCAAAGGUGACUGCAAGUCCUAAUCUGUGAGGGAAUGCCAGUUAGGACUCAGGGACCUAAGUGAGGAAGGCUUCAAGGUGAGGGUAGCCAAGCCUUUGAGCUGGCUUUCAGUAGAACUUUUAUCAAGCAGGGUCGAGUCUCACAAAGUAUUCUGGGUGAUGGGAACAGCAUUCAGACAACCUGGAAUAGACAAGCCUAAAGCAGGAACCUGGGAUGAGGGGGUUAGCUGGCAGAUAUGAGGGGAGAAGGAAUGGGAUUCCUUUUAUUUCAUUUAUUUAUUUGACACACAGAGAGGGAGUGGGCACACAAAUAGGCAGAGUGGCAGGCAGAGGGAGGGAGAAGGAGGCUCCCCCACUGAGCAGACAGCCUGCCAUGGGGCUCAAUCCCAGGACCCCAGGACCAUGACCUGAGCUGAAAGCAGAGGCUUAACCCACUGAGUCACCGAGGCGCCCCAUCCCUGGAAUGGAAUUGUAAUGCUUCCUUUCACUCUGUGACCUUUUCUUAAUCCCAAGGGUGACUCCCUCCUCUCUCACCUUUUCUUUUUUUUUUUUUUUUUUAACUCCAUCUCCAAACUGUGUCUGAGACCCCGCCAGCAGAGGACCCUGGUGGCAAAGAGAAAGAGGGGAAAAUGGGGAGAACCCACCUCUUUUGAGGAAGAGCCCCACAUGGAGCCUCAGUCAGCUUCCCACCUGAUGACUCUCAAGAUGUGGCUACAGUUUCCUCCCAAGUCCAGACCCCAACUCUCCCCUAAGGGAUCUCACCCCUCCUGGGCCCUGUGACAGCUGGCCCGGUACCCAUUUGGUCUCUGAUUUCUAUGCAAUGCCCUGCCAAGAAACUCAUCUCUCAGCAAGUACCUUCUGCCACUGAGUCCUCCUUCUUGGGUGCAGGGGACAACUUCUUACCUUGUCCCCAUUUCAAAAUAAAUAUUUUUGCCAGAAGAGUCAGAGUCUGCCUCUUUUCUCUGUCCCAAAAGAGAGAGGGAAAGGCACAACUCUGAGUGCUUUCA